rnacentral:rRNA from 1 species
UACGGAGGGUGCAAGCGUUGUCCGGAUUUAUUGGGUCUAAAGGGUGCGUAGGCGGUUUGUUAAGUCAGUGGUGAAAGACGGCAGCUCAACUGUCGCAGUGCCAUUGAUACUGGCGAACUUGAAUGUCGAUGAGGCUGGCGGAAUUGGUGGUGUAGCGGUGAAAUGCAUAGAUACCACCAGGAACACCGAUUGCGAAGGCAGCUGGCUAAUCGAAGAUUGACGCUGAGGCACGAAAGCGUGGGGAGCAAACAGG